rnacentral:rRNA from 1 species
UACAUGGGGUGCAAACGUUGCUCGGAAUUAUUGGGCGUAAAGCGCGUGUAGGCGGCUUUGCAAGUCGGGUGUGAAAUCCCUCGGCUCAACCGAGGAAGUGCGCCCGAAACUGCAAUGCUUGAGUACCGGAGAGGAUGGCGGAAUUCCCCAAGUAGAGGUGAAAUUCGUAGAUAUGGGGGAGGAACACCGGGUGGCGAAGGCGGCCAUCUGGACGGAUACUGACGCGUGAGACGCGAAAAGCGUGGGGAGCAAACAGG